rnacentral:lncRNA from 1 species
UCUUCCCCAAACGUUUAAUUCCUGUCUAACUGUGAUAAGAAAACACCAGACAAAUCUUAGUUGGGGAACAUUCCACAAAAUACAUGACUGUCCUUAAAACUGCCAGUCAUCAAGGACAAGCAAAGCCUCAGAACUGUCACAGCCAAGAGGACAUGAUAAUGAGAUGUAACGUGGCAUCCUGGAAGAUGUCUUAGAACCAGUCAGCCACUGAGAAAACCCUAAGGAAAUCUGUAUGUAUAUGGUUAACCAUGAUGCACCAAUACUGAUUCACUAGCUAUAAUAAUAAAUAAACCAAACUAAAACAAAAUGCUCAUAAUAGAAAGCUAGCGGAGGAUUUAGGGCUCUACUACAUUUGUAGCUUUUCUAUAAAUCCAAGCAUCCUAAAGAAGAUUCUGGGUGUUUUUCAAAAGCUCAAUGUGAAGUCUGUGAGUCUCCUGGGCUGGCUGCUGUGGUAUUCUCGUCUUCGUGGAGACCUUGAAUCGCUGCCCUCACCUCUGCAAUUCGUUGGCCACUUUAUAGACAAAGCUAGGAAUCUGAAACAGAAGCAGGCUGUUUCCUGUUCAAGUCCGCCUGGUGCAGGACAGUAACAACUAUGAGGCAACUGGAGUUCAAGAAGCA